AGUGAACGCUGGCGGUAGGCCUAACACAUGCAAGUCGAACGGCAGCACAGUAAGAGCUUGCUCUUACGGGUGGCGAGUGGCGGACGGGUGAGGAAUACAUCGGAAUCUACUUUUUCGUGGGGGAUAACGUAGGGAAACUUACUCUAAUACCGCAUACGACCUACGGGUGAAAGCGGGGGAUCUUCGCACCUUGCGCGAUUGAAUGAGCGGAUGUCGGAUUAGCUAGUUGGCGGGGUAAAGGCCCACCAAGGCGACGAUCCGUAGCUGGUCUGAGAGGAUGAUCAGCCACACUGGAACUGAGACACGGUCCAGACUCCUACGGGAGGCAGCAGUGGGGAAUAUUGGACAAUAGGCGCAAGCCUGAUCCAGCCAUACCGCGUGGGUGAAGAAGGCCUUCGGGUUGUAAAGCCCUUUUGUUGGGAAAGAAAAGCAGCAGGUUAAUACCCCGCUGUUCUGACGGUACCCAAAGAAUAAGCACCGGCUAACUUCGUG
rnacentral:rRNA from 1 species